AUGGCCAGCUCGUCUGCGGACCCGGAGAAGCUCAUGGCCAAGGCCGACAAACUAACAAAACUGAGCUUCACAAGAUGGAAUGCUGAUUGGAAGAGUGCUACCGCCUUGUACGAACAAGCUGCAAUUGCUUAUAGAUUCAGAAAGGACAAUGAGAAAGCAAAGGAUGCAUUUGAGAAGGCUUCAAAAGGACAAGAAAUGAUCUCAUCACCGUGGGAUGCUGCUAAGCAUAUGGAAAAUGCUGGUGCUUUAGCAAAGGAGCUUGGACUCUGGAAUGAAGUUUCCGACUUUUAUCGCAGAGCAUCAGAAUUUUACCGUGAAUGUGGAAGAUCACAACCUGCCUCUGAUGCUCUUGCAAAGGGUGCCAGUGCCUUGGAAGAUAAAGCUCCAGAAGAAGCAACUAAAUUGUAUGAUGACGCUUGCACACUUCUAGAAGAAGAUGGAAAGGAGCAGAUGGCUUUUGACUUGUACCGUGCUGCUGCAAGUUUAUAUGUGAAGCUUGAGAAGUACUCGGAUGCCGCUGCAUUCCAUUUAAGACUUGGUUCAGCUGCUGAUAAGUGCAAUGCCGUGAACAGCCAAUGCAAGGCCUAUCUGAGUGCAAUCAUUAUCUACCUUUAUGCACAUGAUUUUCAACAAGCUCAGAAAUGCUACAAUGAUUGCUCAGAGGUUCAAGGCUUCUUGAAUAGUGACCAGAAUCGAUGUGCAAUGAAACUGUUGUCUGCUUAUGAGGAAGGCGACGCUGAAGAAAUCAAGCGUGCUGCUCAAUCAAGUGCCAUUAAUCACCUCGACCAUGUGGUAAUUCGGCUUGCAAGGAAGCUACCAACAGGUGACCUGCAGGCCAUCAAGAAAGAUGUAGGAGGCGACGACGGGGAUUCCUUGGACGAGGAUGACCUAACCUGA
rnacentral:rRNA from 1 species